CAAGAUUGUAAAAUAUUCUCUCCUGUUUCCUUUUAAUACUCAUUUUGAUUUUCACAUUAGGCUUUUUAAUCAAUCUGGAAUUUAUGAGGGUGAGAGACAGAGGCUAAUUUAUUAUCCAACACUUAGGGCAUGAAUAAAAUUGUACCCUUUGCUGCCUAGAUUUUUAAAUAUUUAUUUUUUUUGAAUUUCAAGACAGGUGAUAACAUCAAAGAGCUAAGAAACUGUCAAAAAUAUUUAAAAAAUUUUUUUUUUUACUUUGGUAUAGUUUCCCCUAAUUUACGCCUCAGUUAGAUCUUAAAUGGGGCAAAUGUUCUAUAUCAGUGGUUGCCACCCCAAAUGCCAUGCAUAUAAAUGGUCAAUAACUAGUUAUUCAUUUACUGUGCAUUUAUUUAACUUAAAGGUGUGGUUCUCAUGGACUCUUGUGUCUAAUAAGGAGGAAGAUUCCAUUCUGGAAUCUUCAAGCUAGCCUGAUGCACACUGAAUCUGGGUUCUUGGGCUAGGAAAACCACAGCUGCUUCUUCCCUCCUAGAGCCCCAGCUCCUCUCAAUCUGAGUAGAUGCCCCAAAAUAGGUCAUGUGCUCUGAGUCCAUCCUCAGUAUAAAAAGGGGUCCAAUUUGAACUUUAUCACAAAUCCCCAGGGUCAGCUUUUGUUUUUAGACAGGACUUCCUCAAGCAAGGCUGCCCGCUUAGGGGAAACUAUUUUCCUGACCAGCUGGAUGUUGGGUGUAGGGUCACAUAGGGGAGAAGUGUGUUUGAACUCAGUCUGUUCUCCCCCUUGGCCUGACAUGGCGCAUCGGCUCCUUGUCGUGUCUGUUAACUAGUGGUGCUCAGCAUGGGCUUGUCUGGUUGUUCGCAGACUUUCCAGCUGCUUGUGAUGUGAGCUGGUUUUGUUCUGUCUGCCCCUCCUCUUUGAAACCUUUUUCCUUACACAUUUUUGGGAAGGCUGAUUACCUGGGAUUUAGUUAACAUGUUAGAGAACUGGAGCUUGAGCUGGGAUGAGGAGAAGAAACAUCCCCCUAGCUUGACAAAGAGCUUGGUUUCAGGCUGGUGAACUGCACAUUCCACGGUGAACCACCUGAGCUGGUUUGCUUGGAAUCUGCUCUGCUGGCCAAGCUCCAAACAUAUAAUCAAAAGCGGCCUGAAAUCACUCAUUUUGCCACUUGCAUUCUUAGCUUCACAAUGUAAGGAUCUGGCUGGUGCCUGUCCUGAAAGCAUGGAAUUUUCUACUGUUUGUGACACAUGGCAUUACGUGUGCGUGCGUGCGUGUGCGCCUGUGCAGUGUACACAGGCUUGUCUGAACAGGCAUGUUUUCAGCUGAACUAUUUAUACCUACAGACAGGCAGUGAUUAAAGAUCACGGUGUAUGGCAGGUUUUCUUUGAUUUCCAGAAUCGCCUGUCUGCAUUUGUAGGUUAGUGUCUUUGGAGAAAUGCAAUGGAGCAUCUUGCAUGUGCGUGCAACGGAUCCCCUAGGUAGAGGACCUUGCCUUGGAAAUAUCUGAGGAUAAUUUACUUAGAAGAAGUCAGUGUGCUAUUUUUUGGAGGAACAGGUGUAUUUGACCACACAUUGGGGGAAGUGAAGACCUGAGCUCUGAGAAAGUCAAGUGUGAGGCCCUCAGAGGUGGUUAUUUAUAUCGGAGUGAUGUGUAUUGAAAGCCGAAGUCUUUCAUUCCACCAGCAUCACAGAACUAAUUUAGAGAAGAGGAAGGGCAUGCGCUUUGCCUUGUGAAAUGUCUACUGUACUGAAACUUCUGGUGUGGGUCAGACUUUUCGUGAUCCAAGCACAGGCUCUGUUGUAGAUGAAAGGGUGCUUACGCGCGCUUGCUUCAGCUACUUCGUGGAUACAAUGGCUCACUUUCCAUUGGUUGAUAGAUGUGUGACUUCAUUCUUGCUUCCUUUCCUGAGACGUCUCCCCCUCAACCCUGCAUGUGAGCAGGCUGGUGUGCAUGUAUGGGGGGGGAGGGGAGGAAGGACCUUAACAUAAUCUCUCAGCUCUAAAUAAGAACAUUGGACUCUAACAACCACCCAAAACAAUACAUUAGAAACCCUUGUGUUCACUAUUGUAAUAAAUGGAGUCUCAUACAACUAGCUUCCAUUUUUAUCUCUCUUGAAUUGUAAAGUCCCCUCCCUCACCCCUGCCCCUCGGGCUCUUUCGGUUAUGGGAAAUGAAUGUGUUUCAGAACCAACAUGUCAGAAUUAUGAGGAAGAAAUUGGCAGUGGAACAAACUAUGCGACAUGCUUGACAAGAACUGAGAAACAAUACAUCUCAGAUUUUCUGAGGCAGUCUUUCUUUCGUUCAGAAAUAUGACCCAGAAGCCACAGAAAGGGAAGCACCUUUGUAGCACCAUUAGGGUCACAAAGAGUUAGUCUUUGUUAAGGAACCAACAGAGGAUAUUUCUGCACAGAAGGAUGAGGUGUCUGUAGGAGGAGAACGUAGUCCUGCUUCCACGAGGAGUAGGUGGAAAUUGCAAACAGAGAACUUGUGAUCAUUUGUUUCAAAUGAGAAGACCAACGUGCAGAACGCCCAGAAGGAUGGAGCAGGAAGGAAAGGAGAGGUGGUAGGAAACCUGAGCACGUUUACAUAAAUGUUACGCUCCUUCUGGGCUUGCCUAAUCCCCGUCCUUUGGAGUUUGCAUUUUACGAGGGUAAACAUGGUUUAAUACUGAGCAAAUAUUCAUUCACAUAAUUAAAACCUGUUGUGUUGAACAGGAAACAUCCAAGGGAAAUCUGCAGGUGCCUGCAAGCAAGGGUGACUCUGGAAGGAUCUUGGUAUGUCGGUGCCUUCUCUCCCAAGGUGAUAUACGGAGGAGCAGAUGUGUUGCCUCUAGCAAGGCAAUAAUUCACUUCAUUAUUAUUGUUUGAUUUGCCUUGUGUAUGCUGUUCAUUGCUAACUGAGGCCUGCAAUGCUGUCCGUGGGAUCUGAAAUGUACAAGAACGGGUCAGAAGGCCUUGGGAGAACUGAAAAAGAAGUCAUUGCCCUGGCCUCAGUCACCUGUCCCCAGACAAAAUCACACCCUGUCAUCCAUGAAGAUUUGCAGACCAGCCCCCACUCAGCUGCUGUUUUGACCAUAGCCCUUGCUGCCCUAGGCUCUUACCCAUGGGACCGAGAACGUUAAUGUCAGAAAGAAGUUAGAAACUGAUACUGAAGAGCAGACCUGUGUUGGAAAGAACAUAGUUCAAGGGAGACUGGUGAAUGAAGAAGGGAAGAUCAAUGUGAUGGCUGGAGCUCUAGCUGCCACAUUGGACCAUGAAGUGAAUUCAAGAUGGAAGCCAUAUGCUAAGUAUGGCAGAACAAAAAGACAGAGGAAACCUGGAACUUUGAUGACACUGUAGCUCCCAUACCAGCCAGAAUCCAGCCUUAUUUUGUAUGAGAGAGAAAUAAGCUUCUAUCUUAUUGAAACCACUGUUAUUUCCUCCUUCACCUGGGACAUCACAAGUCUAGGGACUCUUUGGAAGGUUUUGACCAGAGAGUGAAAAAUUAGGGAUUUCAUUUGUUUGUCUUUUGGUGAUUCUGAAGAGCAGUCUCCGUUGGGAACCCUGGAGCAGAUGCUAUCUAAGAUGCCUCGCGGGGCUCCAGUGUUUUCUGACUCCAAAGCCCCCUGAAGCAUAUUCUGCGCAGUUCCACGCAGUGCAGCCCAGAGGAGACGGCGGCCCCCACCGUGAAGCCCCGUGAGAGAGUCGGUGUGUACCCCGGGGAGCAGCCAGCACGGCAGAGCGUGUGACUUGCGUGGCGUGGGGGAGAGGGCGCCGGGGCCGUGCCUGUUUCUUAGCUGGUUCUGCUCUGGAGCCAGUGAAUUGGCCUCGCCUGGGGCCAGCGGGACCUUGGCCCAGACGGUGACUGUCCACCGCCUUGUUCCCGACGGCCCGGUCCUUCUUGCCAUCGUGCUGUGGUGUGGAACACCCAGCACGCCUGCCCCAAGUCCAAGGAGCACGUCAGGAAUCCCACAAGUUGCGUCCUUGAGGCCGGCACCCUUCGCGUGAGAUUCUGAAUGCAGUCAUGUGUCUCUGUCCCAGAGUCACAAAAAGUCCCCGUUCUAAUGAGGAGCUGUGGAAUGCUAAGGCUGAAGCUGCCUUGAGCUCCUCUUUCACGAGUUUCAAUCAUGGGUUAAUGCUGACAUUCUUUGGCUUUCGUAAAUGGGGAGGAGCCUUUUGUGUUUGUGUGAGGGCAGAGGCAGGAAUAAAUCGUGGCUCUCGGGGCUGACUUUGAUCCA